rnacentral:rRNA from 1 species
UUUUGGACAAUGGGCGAAAGCCUGAUCCAGCAAUGCCGCGUGUGGGAAGAAGGCCUUCGGGUUGUAAACCACUUUUGUACGGAACGAAAAGGUCUGCCCUAAUACGGUGGGCCCAUGACGGUACCGUAAGAAUAUGCACCGGCUAACUACGUGCCAGCAGCCGCGGUAAUACGUAGGGUGCGAGCGUUAAUCGGAAUUACUGGGCGUAAAGCGUGCGCAGGCGGUUUCGUAAGCUGGAGGUGAAAUCCCCGGGCUUAACCUGGGAAUGGCCUUCAGGACUGCGAGGCUAGAGUGCGGCAGAGGGAGGUGGAAUUCCACGUGUAGCAGUGAAAUGCGUAGAGAUGUGGAGGAACACCGAUGGCGAAGGCAGCCUCCUGGGCCAGCACUGACGCUCAUGCACGAAG